AUGAAAGAACACUUUGAUGUUCACAACUUGAGUGGAAUUGACCGCUCCGAGAGAUCACUUCGGCCCCGAUGGUCGACAAUCAACUCGGAUUGUCAAAGGUGGGCGGCCUGUCAAAAGGCGGUUGACAAGUUGAACCCAAGUGGCACAAAUGAGGACGAUAGAGUAAGUGGCAUUUCAUACAUGUUCAUCAUACUUGUUGUUGGUGCUAACUUGCUUUGUUUUCAUGUAGUACAACAUUGCGCAAAACUUGUUCAAAGAAGAGGAGAGGACAACCAAGAAGGGGAAGAUCAAGAAAGGAAGGAAGCGUGA
rnacentral:rRNA from 1 species